rnacentral:misc_RNA from 1 species
ACACCUCAACCCUCCAACGUCUUUGCGUUGCAGGUGUUGGUAGUGAGCGCUGCCGGUCUUUGGGUCGGCUCGCUUUAAAAUCAUCAGCAGGAUCCAUCCUGACCUGGUUCCACUCGGCGUAAUAGGUUAUUAUCGUCGAGGACGCCUGGCCUUGUAGGCAGGCGGCCACAGUAAGGGUGUUUGAACCGCUUCUAACACGUCUUGCUCUUGUAGCAAACACUUGAACCU